rnacentral:piRNA from 2 species
UGGGAAAGGAAGUCAAGACUUUCCAGGAGC